GCGCAGCAGGCGAGAAACUCUACAAUAAGCGAAAGCUUGACAGGGUUAUUCUGAGUGAUUUCCGCUAAGGAAAUCUUUUGGCACCUCUAAAAAUGGUGCAGAAUAAGGGGUGGGCAAGUCUGGUGUCAGCCGCCGCGGUAAUACCAGCACCCCGAGUGGUCGGGACGUUUAUUGGGCCUAAAGCAUCCGUAGCCGGUUCUACAAGUCUUCCGUUAAAUCCACCUGCUUAACAGAUGGGCUGCGGAAGAUACUAUAGAGCUAGGAGGCGGGAGAGGCAAGCGGUACUCGAUGGGUAGGGGUAAAAUCCGUUGAUCCAUUGAAGACCACCAGUGGCGAAGGCGGCUUGCCAGAACGCGCUCGGCGGUGAGGGAUGAAAGCUGGGGGAGCAAACCGGAUUAGAUACCCGUGUAGU
rnacentral:rRNA from 1 species